AUAGCCCUGAAUCAAAAUUGGCAGUUUUCUGAAAUUUUUGGUUUCAAGCAAGAGCCUAAAGCAGUAACUUUCUACAAUCUGUUGGCCAUUUCAGAACUUUAGGAAUAUAAUGUCAGUUCAUUAGAAAGAAAGAACU
ensembl:snoRNA small nucleolar RNA SNORA2/SNORA34 family